AUCUUUUUCUAGUGGAGAAUGUGGACAAUAAACAAUAAACCUAAAACGUAUUGCAUGAUAUAUUCUAUUAGAGGGUCAUAAUUGCUAUGAAGAACUACAGCAGGGUAAAGCAGAGCAAAGGCACCGUGUUGAAUAUAUGGAUUUAAGUGGGGGUGACUAGGGUAUCAUGGAAAAGAUGGUAAAUAUUUGGAAGGGGUAAGAGAAUUUUCCAGGUGGAUACAUGGGGGAAAGCAGAGGGCAGUGAGGCAGUAGGGUGCCUGGCAUAUUCAAGGAAUAAAAAAGAGCAGGUGUGACUCAGGCUGAGUGAGAAGUUGGAGGCAAGACCCUAGUGUCCUAGCAGGCCCAUGUGGAACUCUGGCUUUCCCUCACAGUGAGAGGGUACUUUGGGAGGACUUUGAGCAAUGAGAGGCAGUGAACUGACUUUACAUUUAAAGGAUCCCUCUGGCUGCUGGAUUAAUAGUUUGUAGGAGCACAAGAGUAGAAGAGAGACCAGUUAAGAGGCUAUUGCAGUACUCCCACUAGAGGCCAUGGUGCCAUGGACCAGCGUGGCAGGAACAGAGGUGACUAGGAAUAAUUAGAGACUGGAUAUUUUGAACAUAGAACUAACAAGUUUAACUGUUGGGUUGAGCAAUAAUAAGUAAAGAGAGGCGUCAAGGAUGAUUCCAAGGUUUUUGACCUAAGCACAGGGAGAAUGGAAUCCCAUCAAACUGCAAUGACAAAGCUAUAGGCAGAACAGUGUGGAAUGGAGAAGGGAUAGAGUUUGGCUUGGGAUCAGCUGAGCUUGAGGUGUUUGUUAAACAGACGUCCACGUGGAGUUGGCAAUGGAGAACUAGAUACACAUUUCUGGGUGAAGGAGUGAGAAUCCUAGAAGAAAUUAAUUUUUCUUAAUGGUCUUAGUGGUUUAAUAUCCAAAAGUCCUAAAAAAAUACAACAUGGAGUGGGACUGCAUAAUAUCUUAUUCACUGCUUGAUUUCUAGGACUGAUUCAGAGAAUGCUCGUUAAGGUAAAUAGCAGUAGAAAGGGCAGGAUUCUUAUCGCAAACUUUGUCUUUCAGGAUUUAAGCCUCAGUGAAUCCAUAACUCUUAUUUUGAAGAAAAAAAAAGACUUUUUUUUUUUUUAAACAAAAUAGGCAAAAGC
rnacentral:lncRNA from 1 species